rnacentral:rRNA from 1 species
AUUGAACGCUGGCGGCCGGCCUAACAAAUGCAAGUCGAACGAGUGGCGGACGGGUGAGUAAUGUCUGGGAAACUGCCCGAUGGAGGGGGAUAACUACUGGAAACGGUAGCUAAUACCGCAUACCAUCGGAUGUGCCCAGAUGGGAUUAGCUAGGAGGUGGGGUAACGGCCCACCUAGGCGACGACCCCUAGCUGGUCUGAGAGUAUGACCAGCCACACUGGCACUGAUACACGGUCCAGACUCCGACGUGAGGCAGCAGUGGGGAAUAUUGCACAAUGGGCGCAAGCCUGAUGCAGCCAUGCCGCGUGUAUGAAGAAGGCCUUCGGGUUGUAAAGUACUUUCAGCGAGGAGGCGUUACUCGCAGAUGAAGCACCGGCUAACUCCGUGCCAGCCGCCGCGGUAAUUC